rnacentral:rRNA from 1 species
UACGUAGGGUGCAAGCGUUAAUCGGAAUACUGGGCGUAAAGCGUGCGCAGGCGGUUUUGUAAGUCUGUCGUGAAAUCCCCGGGCUCAACCUGGGAAUUGCGAUGGAGACUGCAAGGCUAGAAUCUGGCAGAGGGGGGGUAGAAUUCCACGUGUAGCAGUGAAAUGCGUAGAGAUGUGGAGGAACACCGAUGGCGAAGGCAGCCCCCUGGGUCAAGACUGACGCUCAUGCACGAAAG